rnacentral:rRNA from 1 species
UUGCCGGCGACCGGCGCACGGGUGAGUAACGCGUAUCCCGUUUUCCGCUUACUCGGGGAUAGCCUUUCGAAAGAAAGAUUAAUACCCGAUGGUAUCUUAAGCACGCAUGAGAUUAAGAUUAAAGAUUUAUCGGUAAGCGAUGGGGAUGCGUUCCAUUAGGCAGUUGGCGGGGUAACGGCCCACCAAACCUACGAUGGAUAGGGGUUCUGAGAGGAAGGUCCCCCACAUUGGAACUGAGACACGGUCCAAACUCCUACGGGAGGCAGCAGUGAGGAAUAUUGGUCAAUGGGCGAGAGCCUGAACCAGCCAAGUAGCGUGAAGGAUGACGGCCCUACGGGUUGUAAACUUCUUUUGUGCGGGAAUAAAGGAACCUACGUGUAGGUUUUUGCAUGUACCGUAACGAAUAAGCAUCGGCUAACUCCGUGCCAGCAGCCGCGGUAAUACGGAGGAUGCGAGCGUUAUCCGGAUUUAUUGGGUUUAAAGGGAGCGUAGACGGGUUUUUAAGUCAGCUGUGAAAGUUUGGGGCUCAACCUUAAAAUUGCAGUUGAAACUGGAGACCUUGAGUACGGUUGAGGCAGGCGGAAUUCGUGGUGUAGCGGUGAAAUGCUUAGAUAUCACGAAGAACUCCGAUUG